GACGAACGCUGGCGGCGUGCUUAACACAUGCAAGUCGAACGGUAAGGCCCUUCGGGGUACACGAGUGGCGAACGGGUGAGUAACACGUGGGUGAUCUGCCCUGCACUUCGGGAUAAGCCUGGGAAACUGGGUCUAAUACCGGAUAGGACUCCUGGCUUCAUGGUUGGGGGUGGAAAGCUUUUGCGGUGUGGGAUGGGCCCGCGGCCUAUCAGCUUGUUGGUGGGGUAAUGGCCUACCAAGGCGACGACGGGUAGCCGGCCUGAGAGGGUGACCGGUCACACUGGGACUGAGAUACGGCCCAGACUCCUACGGGAGGCAGCAGUGGGGAAUAUUGCACAAUGGGCGCAAGCCUGAUGCAGCGACGCCGCGUGAGGGAUGACGGCCUUCGGGUUGUAAACCUCUUUCAGCUAUGACGAAGCGCAAGUGACGGUAGUAGCAGAAGAAGGACCGGCCAACUACGUGCCAGCCGCCGCCGUAAUAC
rnacentral:rRNA from 1 species